UACGUAGGGGACAAGCGUUAUCCGGAAUCAUUGGGCGUAAAGCGCGUGUAGGCGGUUCAGUAAGUCCGCUCUGAAAGCCCAGGGCUCAACCCUGGGAGGCGGGUGGAUACUACUGAACUAGAGUACGGAAGAGGAGAUUGGAAUUCCUGGUGUAGCGGUGGAAUGCGCAGAUAUCAGGAAGAACACCCGUGGCGAAGGCGGCUCUCUGGAACGCAACUGACGCUGAGACGCGAAAGCGUGGGGGAGCAAACAGG
rnacentral:rRNA from 1 species